rnacentral:rRNA from 1 species
AUUGAACGCUGGCGGCAUGCCUUACACAUGCAAGUCGAACGGCAGCGGGGGAGAAGCUUGCUUUUCCUGCCGGCGAGUGGCGAACGGGUGAGUAAUACAUCGGAACGUGCCCUGUAGUGGGGGAUAACUAGUCGAAAGAUUAGCUAAUACCGCAUACGACCUGAGGGUGAAAGUGGGGGACCGCAAGGCCUCAUGCUAUAGGAGCGGCCGAUGGCUGAUUAGCUAGUUGGUGGGGUAAAGGCCUACCAAGGCGACGAUCAGUAGCUGGUCUGAGAGGACGAUCAGCCACACGGGGACUGAGACACGGCCCAGACUCCUACGGGAGGCAGCAGUGGGGAAUUUUGGACAAUGGGCGAAAGCCUGAUCCAGCAAUGCCGCGUGUGUGAAGAAGGCCUUCGGGUUGUAAAGCACUUUUGUCCGGAAAGAAAUGGCUCUGGUUAAUACCUGGGGUCGAUGACGGUACCGGAAGAAUAAGGACCGGCUAACUACGUGCCAGCCGCCGCGGUAA